AUUAGAAAGCAAGCAACCUGCACCAAAAUUCCCGUUCCACACAGUUACCAUUUCUGCACAGUAUACAUACAUACAUGUAUUUUAAAGAGGAAAAAAAUAGGGCUUGUAUGUAAUGUAAUCCAUUGGCUGAUGUUAUGGUAAUGGCAUCUGAAUAGUCUCUAGGGCUAUCUUCCAAUCUGAGGGAAAAGAUAAAUUAAGAAAGCCACCUCAUAACCAAAGGCAAAGCACUUGCCUCCACCCCUCUCCCCGUAAAAAAGCACAUCUCCUAUAGAGUACACGAUAACUCAUUACUUGUUAGUA